CAGCCGUAAACUAUGCUCGCUAGGUGUCAGGCAUGGCGCGACCGUGUCUGGUGCCGCAGGGAAGUCGUGAAGCGAGCCACCUGGGAAGUACGGCCGCAAGGCUGAAACUUAAAGGAGUUGGCGGGGGGAGCACAACAACGGGUGGAGCCUGCGGUUUAAUGGACUCAACGCCGGACAACUCACCGGGGGACGACAGCAAUAUGUAGGCCAGGCUGAAGACCUUGCCUGAAUCGCUGAGAGGAGGUGCAUGGCGUAGACGUCU
rnacentral:rRNA from 1 species